UACAGAGGUCCCAAGCGUUGUUCGGAUUUAUUGGGCGUAAAGGGUGCGUAGGCGGUUCGUUCAGUCAGACGUGAAAUUCCUGGGCUCAACCUGGGGGCUGCGUUUGAUACGUGCGGACUUGAGUGCGGAAGAGGGUCGUGGAAUUCCCAGUGUAGAGGUGAAAUUCGUAGAUAUUGGGAAGAACACCGGUGGCGAAGGCGGCGACCUGGUCCGAUACUGACGCUGAGGCGCGAAAGCGUGGGGAGCAAACAGG
rnacentral:rRNA from 1 species